AUGGGGGGACAGCCCCAAAAAGGAGAGGAUUUGCCCACAGCAGCGUGUGAUCUGACCAAAAUCCCACCCAAAGCAGGGAUCCCAAUCCCAAGGGUGAUGCUCCUUCCCCUCAUCAGGCUCCCCUCCAUCCCAGCAGCUCCCUCCCCAAGGAGGAGGUGGCAGGGAGCGAGGUCCCUGAAGGGAGAGGUGAGGUCUCCAGUCUCUCCUGGAGAAGGAGAAGGCUCCCAGGGCCAGCUCCUCACGGGCUCAGCUCCGUGUCUGGUCACAAAGCCAGGAAGACCAGGGGCUCAGGGUUGUUUUUCUGCUCCCUCUCCGUUUUCCUGUGCAGAUGAUAAGGCAGGAAGAGACAGGGUGGAACCCUCCUGCUGGGGCAUCCUGGACAUUUCACAGCCAGGACUCCCUCCAGCCACCCGGGUCAGCCAGCUCCUCGGCCUCACACCCACAGGAGGACUCUCCUGGGGGUGUUGGUGGACAGUCGGCUGAAGAUGAGCCAGCAGUGUGCCCAGGUGGCCAAGGUGGCCACCAGCAUCCUGGCCUGUAUCAGGAGCAGUGUGGGGAGUAGGGCCCCAGAGGUGAUUGUCCCCCUGGACUGGGCACUGGUGAGGCCUCACCUCAAGUGCUGUGUCCAGUUUUGGGCCCCCCACCAUAAAAAAGACAUUGAGGGGCUGGAGCUGAGGGGAGACCUUCUUGCUCUCUCCAACUCCCUGAAAGGAGGGUGUAGAGAGGUGGGGGUCGGGCUCUGCUCUCAAGUCCCAGGCGACAGGACAAGAGGAAAUGGCCUCAAGUUGCCCCAGGGGAGGUUCAGGCUGGAGAUUAGGAACAAUUUUUUUCCCUGAAAGGGUUCUCAGCCCUUGGAAUGGGCUGCCCAGGGAGAGGGUUGAGGCCCCAUCCCUGGAGGUGUUCAAAAGCCGGGUUGAUGUGGUGCUGGGAGGGAUGGUUUAGUGAUGAUGCUCCUUGUUUGUUGUGGGGGUGUCUAUUUUUGUCAGUUGGGUUGACGGUUGGACAAGAUGAUCUUGAAGGUCCCUUCCAACCUAGAAGAUUCUGUGAUGCUGUGACCCUCCCUCCCAUCUGAAGGACGGGGAACCGCCGGAGAAGGAACCUGUUAUCCAACCUAGAAGAUCCUGUGAUUCUGUGACCCUCCCUCCCAGGUGAAGGAUGGGGAACCACCGGAGAGGGAACUUGUUACGACUCCCAAGGAGAUUCCCUGCCCCUAAUCCCAACCCUCUGAGCUCUCCCUUUCACCUUUCACGAGUGUUUUUUCUCUCCCAGCUCUUGGUUGUAGACCCCAUCGCGUUCCUCACCCUCUCCCUGGGUGAUAUCAGGGAAGAGGCUGAGGAACAGGUGAAAUACAUGGAUUUAUCUGAUGGAGGUAGAGGAGAGAAGCCAAAAAAACCUCUGGUUUUUACCUUGUAAAACCCCUGGGAGUGAUUUCCAAGCUCCCCAGCAGAGCCUGCCAGUGGCUGCAGCCUGAUUUUAUCGAUAGGGAAUGGCUCCUAUUGAACCAUUCACGUCAGGAUAUGAGCUUUUUUAUCAUCCCCCCCCUUUUUGCCAUCUCUACAGAGAGAAAUCCAUAAAGAUCAACAGGGGACACAUUCCCCUUGACACGGAAACUUCAAAGAGUUUCCUCUCCUCCUCUGGAUGCUUCAGGAUCUGUUUUUCAUCCCGAUGCUUAUUAUUUCCUCCCCCCCAACACAUUUUAAAGCAUCUACUGGACAACGCAGAUGGUCUCUUAAACAGAUAAACUGUAAAUAUACUCCUCUAACAACAUAACCAGCUCUGGGGGGUUGUUUGUCUCCCCCCCCCUUGGAAAAAAAAGGGGAAUGGAUAUCCCUUAAGCCACCUUCCCCCCGUUUUAAACACAGAUGUUGAGCGUAAUUUCAGCUGGGCUGGUAAGAACAAUGAAAGCAGGGGAUUAAUGCGCUUACACGGGCCGCCCGGCGCAUUAAUAUCCCAAUCUCCUUGUUUAUUGUGAUAUAUCAACCCUAAUCCGGCCAGAAAUAAGCCCGGGUUCAUUAAAGGAAAGCCAGUGGAUUACCAGAGGAGUUAGGAUGAUAAAAUCUGGUGUUUCCUCCCGUCAGGAAUAGCUGGGAUCGGGGUUAACACUCGUGGAGGGGGAAAUUCCACAUUUCUCAGGUGUUCCUGACCCCGUGUGCUCCUUCCUCUGCUCCUCCUCGGCCUGCAGGAGCUGAGCAGAGCCUUAAAAAGGGCUCCACUGACCCCAAACUUAUAAUUUUUAAUCUUAUUAUUACCAAUGUGGCCUCUCAUCCCUUAGGAAAUCUUACUCAAGCCACUCGGGGAAGGCAAAUCACUUGGGGUUUCAGGAUGGGACCCUCCAUCAUCCCUACCCCGGAAUUCCCUGGGUGAACUUUGGAAUAGUCAGCCCUUAAAAAGCAAUGUUAUUUUUUUUUUUUAGCUUUUCCUCUUUUUUUUCCCCUCACUUCCAUUCUUUGAAAUGCAAAUUUUGAGCCAGCAUCCUCGUUUUUCUGUAAAUAAUUCAGAGGCUGCACCAAAGCGAGGUGGAAGCCCCCAGUAACGUUCCUCCCUCCCAGCACAAAUCCAAGAUCUGGCUCCAAAUCCCAAACUCCCUAAAGCUGGACUGAGAGACCAUUCCCACUUGGAGACAAAGGAGGGAGUUGCCCAAAGAGGCCACCAGAAGAGCUGGGAUGGCAACCUAAAGCCCAAACCCCCCCUCCUGCUCACCAGACGAGGAGGUACAGGGGGUGCCAGGCUGAAUAUGAUGAUAUUUUAUUCAACUUUGUUCUUUUUAUCAGUCAAAAAGCAGCUUCUCCGUCCGCGGGUCUCUUUUUAUUGCUAUUUCUAGGCCUGGCUAAAGGAGGAUUUAGUUCAAAGGCCACUUUGUGAAGCAGAAGGUUGAGGAAGCUGGGUAAUUUGGGCAGGAAUCAGUCGAUAUGUGGGCUAAUACAGACUUGCCUUUGUAACCCACUUCAGAAAAGCAAUUUACUGCUGGGCUCAGCCCCUUUUCCAAUCGCCUGGCGCUAAAGCACGGGGCAAAUUUCGAUGAAUUUGGAGGGUUUGGGCAUUUUUUUCCACCAUAGGAGCCACUGGAUUUCCUUUGUGCUUCUGGUGCAGGCAGCUCUGGAGCCUGACAAGCCCUCCCAGGCGUGAAAAGGAAGGGCAAAAGUGCAAGGAUUUUAUAAAUAUCCCUCUCUGGGCUCCGAGGCAGCGGCAGAGCACGUAUAUGGGCUGGAAACCAAAGUGAUUUUUAGCCUCCUCGCUGCCCCAGAGCCCACCUGUCAGUAAGUGGGAUCAAUGAAGUGCUGGACAGCUGUAUUUCUGACUUCCAACCCCAGGGAUGGUAAUAAAGUGUGUUUCCUUCACCCCA
rnacentral:lncRNA from 1 species